rnacentral:rRNA from 1 species
UGGGGAAUAUUGGACAAUGGGCGAAAGCCUGAUCCAGCAAUGCCGCGUGAGUGAUGAAGGCCUUAGGGUUGUAAAGCUCUUUUACCCGGGAAGAUAAUGGCUGUACCGGGAGAAUAAGCCCCGGCUAACUCCGUGCCAGCAGCCGCGGUAAUACGGAGGGGGCUAGCGUUGUUCGGAAUUACUGGGCGUAAAGCGCACGUAGGCGGCCGAUCAAGUCAGAGGUGAAAGCCCGGGGCUCAACCCCGGAAUUGCCUUUGAGACUGAACGGCUAGUAGGUGAGAGAGGUAAGUGGAAUUCCGAGUGUAGAGGUGAAAUUCGUAGAUAUUCGGAAGAACACCAGUGGCGAAGGCGGCUUACUGGCUCAUUCUAGACGCUGAGGUGCGAAAGCGUGGGGAGCAAAC